AGGCAAAAUGAAAUGUUUGAUAUUGGGGACGCAGAAUAUGCAUUUGGCAUUGGUUUUCAGCGCUCUGCUUUGUUUACAUUGAUAAUAUCGGAUUCUUUAAAUUUACGAAUGAAUAAUAAUGAAAGGAGUUUACACCAAAAAAGUUCCAUAACUAGGUAGCUGAAAUAUGUACGAGAAAGGGGCGCAAAGUAUUUUCAGAAAUACCAAGGAUUCAUCCUUUCAUAUUAA